AGGAUAUGAAAUUGAUUUGUUGUUGACAUUGUUAUUUGUCUCUUUAAUUACGAAUUAUCGUCAAUGACAUGAUCCUGCUGAAUUUAUGCUGUUGUUAAUUGGCUGUUCGCCGGUAUAAUUUCCUUUUGGGGAUAAAAUGAGGGAUGUCUGUUGGAUAGAGUUAAAUGCAAUGAAACAUCUGAGAGUAAGGAGUUGCCAGUAAUACCUGGCAAAUUUCACCACCACUAUGAUCUUCUUUGCCUCUGGUUGUUAGUGUCAUGGAACAUAUGAUAGAAAGGAAUGAUUGCACCUAUUGCUCUAUGAUGCUACAUAAAACCUUUCACCAGCUUGCUGUCAAUGAUCUCAAGCUUAAAUAUGCCCAAACCUAUGAAGAAGGCUUUCAGAGUGGUGUCAGUGGAGGCAAAGCAAGCAAGGAUUUGUUAUGAAGAUUCUUGCUGUGAAGGGAAGGACCAAGAGUGAGAGUUCCAAUUGGGUCCACUUGUUUGAUGGCAGACAAAGGCAAAAAAUGUUUCAAAGUGGCCAACAUUAAUGAGAAUGGAGGAAGCUCGUUGAGGAGUCAUGCUUCUUGAUGGGGUCAGACUGAAACCAUAACCAUCUCAGUUAGUUAUGCUAAGAUAAUGCUCAAUCUCUUGUAACAAUGGUUUUGUCUGUCUUAAGCUGGACAUGCACUGUUUAGCCCACGAUUUAGGCUGCCCAAACUUGCUUGAGAGUUGACAAAUUUCAAAUUUCAAUGUCCUUUAAGGAAAAUUCAAAUGUUGUUUAAUAAAUAAGCUUGGCUUUUCCUCAUCUUAGAACAUGGCCCUUACUGAUGAAUCUUGUUCAGGUCAUGGAUGAACUUGACAAUUGGAAUUAAAGCUUAUGAAGAGUAAAGGUCCAUUCUCAAGAAGCAAGAACAACGAGCAAAAACGUAGUUUUGUCUCGGGUGAUUUAAAAGUUAUACUUCACCUGAUUGUGUUGAAGGAAUUAAUCUCAUCAACAGGAACAACGACCACCAUAUUUUUCAAGAUGUUAUUCAACAUGCUUGUAAUAUUGUGAACAGAAACUGGUUUAUUUCAAUUGAUUUUGUGUACAGAGAUGUAAUUAGCACUGGGAUUAAUUCCUAUUUUUUCA